rfam:Picea glauca, whole genome shotgun sequence.
ACAUGCCUACAACAUAACAUUAAUGCAUUGGAUCCCAUUAGAACUUUGCAAUUAAUCACUUUUAGUCUAGAGUAGUACUGGGAUGGGUGACCACUCGAGAAGUCCUAGUGUCUUACAUGCU